UACGGCCAUAUCACGUUGAAAGACUAGUUCCCAUACGAUCACUGAUAUUAAGCAACGUCGAGCCUGGUCAAUACCUAGAUAGGUGACCGCUUGGAAAUACUAGGUGCUGUAAG